rnacentral:rRNA from 1 species
GCCUGAUUCCAGACCAACGACCGGCGUGUGUGAAAGAAGGGCUGCGGGUGUAAGCCACUUUCAGUAGGGAGGAAGGCCUCAAUGUUAAAUAGUAUUGAGGAUUGAACGUUACCUUACAGAAGAAGCACCGGGCUAACUCUGUGCCAGGCAGCCGCGGUAAUACAGAGGGUGCAAGCGUUAAUCGGAAUUACUGGGCGUAAAGGGCGCGUAGGUGGUUAUUUAAGUCAGAUGUGAAAUCCCUGGGCUUAACCUAGGAAUUGCAUUUGAAACUAGAUGGCUAGAGUAUGGUAGAGGGAAGUGGAAUUUCCGGUGUAGCGGUGAAAUGCGUAGAUAUCGGAAGGAACACCAGUGGCGAAGGCGACUUCCUGGACCAUUACUGACACUGAGGCGCGAAAGCGUGGGGAGCGAACAGGAUUAGAUACCCUGGUAGUCCACGCCGUAAACGAUGAUAACUAGAUGUUAGGGGGCUUAGACCUUUUAGUAUCGCAGCAAACGCGUUAAGUUAUCCGCCUGGGGAGUACGGCCGCAAGGUUAAAACUCAAAGGAAUUGACGGGGGCCCGCACAAGCGGUGGAGCAUGUGGUUUAAUUCGAUGCAACGCGAAGAACCUUACCUACCUUUGAAUCCACGGAAUCUUACAGAGAUGUGAGAGUGCCUUCGGGAACCGUGAGACAGGUGCUGCAUGGCUGUCGUCAGCUCGUGUCGUGAGAUGUUGGGUUAAGUCCCGUAACGAGCGCAACCCUUGUCCUUAGUUACCAGCGAGUCAUGUCGGGGACUUUAAGGAGACUGCCGGUGAUAAACCGGAGGAAGGUGGGGAUGACGUCAAGUCCUCAUGGCCCUUACAGGUAGGGCUACACACGUGCUACAAUGGCCGGUACAAAGGGUUGCCAACCCGCGAGGGGGAGCUAAUCUCAAAAAGCCGGUCGUAGUCCGGAUUGGAGUCUGCAACUCGACUCCAUGAAGCUGGAAUCGCUAGUAAUCGUGGAUCAGAACGCCACGGUGAAUACGUUCCCGGGCCUUGUACACACCGCCCGUCACACCAUGGGAGUGGGUUGUACCAGAAGCAGGUAGACUAACCGCAAGGAGGUCGCCUACCACGGUAUGAUUCAUGACUGGGGUG